UGGUACAAAGACCAAAUCACACGAAGUUCUUUUAUCCAGCCGUCCAAUUUCGUGAAGAUACUGAAAUUAAAAACGUGGAGCCUGGCGUGAUAGUGGACAGCAUAAUAACUCAUCCGAGUUACUACAAUUUCUUCCUCCUCAGCCACAGCGGUCCCAAGGGAACCAUGAAGCCGACUGAAUACACCAUCAUGUCCCAUUCACCCGAAGAAAAAACUGAAAAUGACCGUUUAGCGCAGCUGACGUACUCGCUGUGCUUCAUGUACAGCAGAUGCAACCAGAGCAUCCCCGUCCCUGCACCUGUGUGCUACGCACAGCGUUGGUCGGGCAAAGCGCUUACCUACGUGCUUCGGCAUAAUCUGAACUGGAAUAACGCGAAGGAUUGUGCUCGCCUGGGCGUUAUCAUGAAUGAGAGAACGACCGAAUUGUUGAAGAAAACUUUUAAAAGCAACUACAAUUUGAGCAAUAUUGAUCCAUUUUGUUAGUAGCAAGCUCGGAAGCGCAGUGAUUGAUUUAAAUCAAGUACUAAAACUUGCGUUCAAAUAGAAAGAUUCUUAAAAUCAUCACUUGAUACCCGCUUUUUUAGUCAAGUUAUUUUUUUAAGGCUUGGUAAAAUAUC